CCUGGAUGUGCCUUGGGUGAUUGUGCUGCCUUCCGCCUCCUGCUUCCCAUUGACAUUGCCAGCUGAUGAAUGAAAGACACCAGCAGGGAGUAUUAACCGUGUGGCAGGUAAAAAACUAAUCGAUGGAACUUUUCCGGCAUGAGUAUGCAGUGAUAGAGAAAUCCAACUUGAACUAUCUAUUGGGAAGUCACAGGAGGAGCCAUCCCAAGGCCAAACAAUAUGAAAAGAACUCCAACUGCUUUCAAGAUGUGUGGACUGGGGACGAGAAAUCCAACCUAAAACCCCAAAGAGGACUGAGCCCUGAUUUGUUUAUUUUCACCCCCCACUGGCAGAAACUGCUUUGAAAACAUUUUAAAAAUGGUGCUGGGGAAAGUUGAAGGAAAGUGAAGAAUAGGACAACCAGCAGCAAGGUGGAUGGACUCAAUUACGACAGCAAUGAAUGGAUCACCGAGAGAUCUUAAAGUCCAAGAUCAUCCUGGAGAGAAUCUAUCUAUGUGGUUGCUAAGAGUCGACACCAACUUGACCGCACUUAAUCAAUCAAUAUAAUAAUAUUAUUAUUAUUAUUAUUAUUAUUAUUAUUAUUAUUAUUAUUAUAUUAACAACUAGCUUAAUGCAUGCAAAGCACCUUCGUGCUAGUAGUUUAUUGUUCCCCUCACCCCCUGCCAAAGCCCCCCUCAGCUCAGAGAUCUCUCCACCCUCACCUGAGCUGCACUCCUGCUCCUCCUCCUCCAUUCCAUUGCUUCCAUCCCCCUUUCCCUUCGUGAUCAUUCCUCCAUCCCUUUACUGCUCCUCCCUAAACCCUCUUGAUCACAGCUACAGUGUUGUGGUGCCUAUUGGCCAAGCUACAACCCACUUAUCCCCAGAAACCUCCCCACCCUCACCCGAGCCCCGCUCUUGCUUUUCCCCACAGGAGCAGCAGCAGUUGACUGGGCCCUUCCUCAUUGCCGCCACACCAUGGCUGCUUGUUUGCCUCAGGCCACUGACAGGCCCAAGCCCAUCCCUUGCCCACCCGCCUCCCUCUGCCAAUGGCCUUGGUAGCCCCAGACAGCAGCAGUGGUUGACUGGGCCCUUCCUUGCUGCCGCCAACACCAUGGCUGCUCAUUCCCCUCAGGCCGCUGACAGACUCGGGCCUGUCCCUCGUCCUUCCUCCUUUCUCUCUUCCCCUCCCUUCUUUUCCUUUUUUCUCUCUCUCCUCCACUUGCUCUUCCCCUGUCUUUCUUCCCCUCCCUCCCUCCCUCCCUCCUUUCUUUCUUUCUUUCUUUCUUUCUUUCUUUCUUUCUUUCUUUCUUUCUUUCUUUCUUAUGACCCGUGGUAUUACCUGUUUCUGCCAUAAUAUAUUAUAAGGAGUUUUUAACAGUAAGAACGAUUUGUAAUUUUUCAGUACGGAAAAAGCUAUAUUACUUCAAAUUUGCAAUUUGAUCACAAAGAAUUCUUUCCCCACUUUUGAUAAAGUGAGAUGAGAGAGUUUCAGUGUUAAUCUUUCAUAUUUUAAUACAGUGUGUACAACUGAAAAAUAUGUCUGAGACACAAAGAAAUAAUAACAUUAGGAAUGCUGUGAUAAAAUUUGUUUAUUAGAUAAUGUCAGAUCAUGUAAAGUGUUAUUAUUUAUGAUAUUUUUAUGAAAUUAGUCCCUCUGGAAGAUAUAUUUAAGAGGCAAUAAAAGAAAGAUCUCUUAAUUGUUAUUCCUGAACAGCAUCAGAAUUACAUUUGUACCACUGAGACUUCUUUGAUGUUAAUGUGGCAUUUAAAGAAAACUUUAUAAGAUUAUAACUCAGCAGUAUUAUGUACCAGUAAAGCUGACUAAAAUGAAUAGAAAUAUGAAAAGUGAUUGCUGGAAAUACAUGUUGGACCAAGCCAAUUUUCUGCAUGUUUCGUGGAAUUGCUAUAUUGUAAAGCUAUUUUGGAUAAAGAUUAAAGACAAGAUUU